rnacentral:rRNA from 1 species
CGAACGCUGGCUGCGUGCUUAACACAUGCAAGUCGAACGGAAAGGCCCUGCUUUUGUGGGGUGCUCGAGUGGCGAACGGGUGAGUAACACGUGAGUAACCUGCCCUUGACUUUGGGAUAACUUCAGGAAACUGGGGCUAAUACCGGAUAGGAGCUCCUGCUGCAUGGUGGGGGUUGGAAAGUUUCGGCGGUUGGGGAUGGACUCGCGGCUUAUCAGCUUGUUGGUGGGGUAGUGGCUUACCAAGGCUUUGACGGGUAGCCGGCCUGAGAGGGUGACCGGCCACAUUGGGACUGAGAUACGGCCCAGACUCCUACGGGAGGCAGCAGUGGGGAAUAUUGCACAAUGGGCGGAAGCCUGAUGCAGCAACGCCGCGUGCGGGAUGACGGCCUUCGGGUUGUAAACCGCUUUCGCCUGUGACGAAGCGUGAGUGACGGUAAUGGGUAAAGAAGCACCGGCUAACUACGUGCCAGCAGCCGCGGUGAUACGUAGGGUGCGAGCGUUGUCCGGAUUUAUUGGGCGUAAAGGGCUCGUAGGUGGUUGAUCGCGUCGGAAGUGUAAUCUUGGGGCUUAACCCUGAGCGUGCUUUCGAUACGGGUUGACUUGAGGAAGGUAGGGGAGAAUGGAAUUCCUGGUGGAGCGGUGGAAUGCGCAGAUAUCAGGAGGAACACCAGUGGCGAAGGCGGUUCUCUGGGCCUUUCCUGACGCUGAGGAGCGAAAGCGUGGGGAGCGAACAGGCUUAGAUACCCUGGUAGUCCACGCUGUAAACGGUGGGCACUAGGUGUGGGGUCCAUUCCACGGGUUCCGUGCCGUAGCUAACGCUUUAAGUACCCCGCCUGGGGAGUACGGCCGCAAGGCUAAAACUCAAAGGAAUUGACGGGGCCCCGCACAAGCGGCGGAGCAUGCGGAUUAAUUCGAUGCAACGCGUAGAACCUUACCUGGGUUUGACAUGGAUCGGGAGUGCUCAGAGAUGGGUGUGCCUCUUUUGGGGUCGGUUCACAGGUGGUGCAUGGCUGUCGUCAGCUCGUGUCGUGAGAUGUUGGGUUAAGUCCCGCAACGAGCGCAACCCUUGUUCACUGUUGCCAGCACGUUAUGGUGGGGACUCAGUGGAGACCGCCGGGGUCAACUCGGAGGAAGGUGGGGAUGACGUCAAGUCAUCAUGCCCCUUAUGUCCAGGGCUUCACGCAUGCUACAAUGGCUGGUACAGAGAGUGGCGAGCCUGUGAGGGUGAGUGAAUCUCGGAAAGCCGGUCUCAGUUCGGAUUGGGGUCUGCAACUCGACCUCAUGAAGUCGGAGUCGCUAGUAAUCGCAGAUCAGCAACGCUGCGGUGAAUACGUUCCCGGGGCUUGUACACACCGCCCGUCAUGUCAUGAAAGUUGGUAACACCCGAAGCCGGUGGCCUAACCGUUGUGGGGGAGCCGUCGAAGGUGGGACUGGUGAUUAGGACUAA